rnacentral:rRNA from 1 species
CAGGAGGAUAGCCCGGGGAAACUCGGAUUAAUACUCCAUAAGAUUUUGAUUGGCAUCAAUUAGGAUUGAAAGAUUUAUUGGAUAAGGAUAGGCAUGCGUCAGAUUAGUUAGUUGGUAGUGUAACGGACUACCAAGGCGAUGAUCUGUAGGGGGCCUGAGAGGGUGAACCCCCACACUGGUACUGAGACACGGACCAGACUCCUACGGGAGGCAGCAGUGAGGAAUAUUGGACAAUGGAGGGGACUCUGAUCCAGCCAUCCCGCGUGCAGGAAGACGGCCUUAUGGGUUGUAAACUGCUUUUGUAUGGGGAUAAAUCUACUUACGUGUAGGUAGUUGAAGGUACCAUACGAAUAAGCAUCGGCUAACUCCGUGCCAGCAGCCGCGGUAAUACGGAGGAUGCAAGCGUUAUCCGGAUUCAUUGGGUUUAAAGGGUCCGUAGGCGGGCUAAUAAGUCAGUGGUGAAAUUUUGUCGCUUAACGAUAAAACUGCCAUUGAUACUGUUAGUCUUGAGUGAUAUUGAAGUAGCUGGAAUGUGUAGUGUAGCGGUGAAAUGCAUAGAUAUUACACAGAACACCGAUUGCGAAGGCAGGUUACUAAGUAUUAACUGACGCUGAAGGACGAAAGCGUGGGGAGCGAACAGGAUUAGAUACCCUGGUAGU